rnacentral:tRNA from 4 species
GAACUUCGUCUAGUGGCCUAGGACACCGCCCUUUCACGGCGGUAACAGGGGUUCGAGUCCCCUAGGGGACGCCA